rnacentral:rRNA from 1 species
AUUGAACUCUGGCGGCAUGCCUUACACAUGCAAGUCGAACGGCAGCACGGGUGCUUGCCCCUGGUGGCGAGUGGCGAACGGGUGAGUAAUACAUCGGAACAUGUCCUGUAGUGGGGGAUAGCCCUGCGAAAGCCGGAUUAAUACCCCAUACGAUCUACGGAUGACAGCGGGGGACCUUCGGGCCUCGCGCUAUAGGGUUGGCCGAUGGCUGAUUAGCUAGUUGGUGGGGUAAAGGCCUACCAAGGCGACGAUCAGUAGCUGGUCUGAGAGGCCGACCAGCCACACUGGGACUGAGACACGGCCCAGACUCCUACGGGAGGCAGCAGUGGGGAAUUUUGGACAAUGGGCGAAAGCCUGAUCCAGCAAUGCCGCGUGUGUGAAGAAGGCCUUCGGGUUGUAAAGCACUUUUGUCCGGAAAGAAAUCCUUGGCCCUAAUACGGUCGGGGGAUGACGGUACCGGAAGAAUAAGCACCGGCUAACUACGUG